UGCAAAGUUUCACAACAACAGUUUUUCAGAGUGAGGAAUGUGAAAACAGAUUGUACAGUGAGCAGGCACGCAGAAUACAAAUGAGGAUUAACUGACGUGAAUAAUUUGGAGUUGAGGAAAUUCAGAGAAAGUCUUCAGCAAAUUCUUCAAACAGUAGCAGUGAAAGUCAUCAACACAUAAUACGAGGAAAGUAAGGAGUUGAGGAAUUAUAACCGGUUUCUCAGUGAAGACAGUCGUUGAUGACCCAGUUCCAACUGCUGUGACAGUCGUACAUCUGGUUUGGAGCGGCUUGGUAUUGAAACCAAAGGACACACAGUCCCGGGACACACAGUCCCUACCGUGUUCUCCUUGGGCUAAGAACACACAGUCCUCGCCCAACACUCGUGGUAAGUCUUCAGGGCAGACUUCCAAACCCUCACAAACUUGGUCACCCGGCGAUCCACAAUUGACUGCUGGAAAGCUCUAGACCAUGACGCCUAACCGUCUGGAGGAUGCACAGUCCUCAAAGGUAAAAGGCUUCAGUCCCACACA
rnacentral:lncRNA from 1 species